UCUGGUUUAUGCUCACACCUCCUGGCGCUGGUCUACACUCUGAUAAACUAUCAGCAGCAAGGUCUGAAAGAAGUUCCAGCAGAGCUGACCUCCAGGAGUCUUCCUCAGCAGUGGCACAAGCCAAGGGGAUCAAAGAUCAACCCAGAAUCUGUCACCUGUAUGAUCCUGGCCAAAUCUAAGGCUGACAAGCAGAGAAAACAGCCCCCCAUUCUCUCAGUUCUCACAAAACAGAGGGUUGUUACACCAGUGAGAGAACAAAUCAACAAGCUGCAGCUACUGAAGAACAGUCCUCUCUCAUAUCUCCUGACCCUAGACAGAGAACAAUGUGACACAAUAUUUGGGGCAGUUCAGUGAGGUUCACCCCUCUACUAUCAGCAGUGCCCAGAUCAGUACAAGCCAAGCAGAGCAAGGAGGAGAGCCAGGGCUGGGGCGGGGAGAGGCGGGCAGGACGGUAGAGAACAAUGAGGAGGAGGCGACAAGGCGAGGUGAUUUCAACAGCGUGAAACUCAAAAGUGCUAAUUGAGAGAAAGGAGAGAGCAGGGGGACCGAAAAGAGCAGGGAGGGAGAGAGUAGAAGUCCUGUUCCCCCACCCCGUCCAGAGGGUGAGGAGAGUGGAAAAGGACAUAGAGAGAGGGAAGGGUAGCCAGAGUGGUAGUGUUAUCAGGGGAGAUCUAGGUUUCAGUGAGAGCUAGGAAGUCAAGAGAGAUGAGAGGCAAAGGCAGAGAUGAAGUCAGCUUUGCUGGAAGCCGAGCGACAAUUCCAGAGGGUGCCAGAGAGAGCGCGGGGGGUGAGCGGAGGAAAAAGGAAGAGGCAGGGAGAUGAGGUUAGAGGAGUUAGAGUUGCAGUGGCAGGGAGGAGACAGAGGACAGGAAUGAAAGGAGAGGAUUAUGGGAAUAUUAAAGAUAGUCAUGGUAAGGCGCAGUAGAGGAAAGGAAGUAGAAUGGGUACAGGAGGGGGUGGUGUGAGAGGGAGACGAAAACACAGGUACAGAGGAGCGAGAACAUUAAAGAAGAGAAAAGAAAAAGGAAUGCCUACAAACCUGGUUUGGAGUUGGAGCCGUCAGAUCGAUGCUUGGAUAGAAGUUUUUGCAGCCAAUCCACAUUGGCCAAUCCUUGUGUGGACUACCACAGUGUAGACUACCGGCCCUCUGAUAAUGAGGUCCUUUGAUGAUGAGGCCCUUUGGUGAGCUGGCGAUAAGUGCUGGGUAAGCGCCACUGCUUAUAUAAUGCCCUGCAGGUUGAGAGCUGGAUGCUCUACACAAUUGGUUGCAAAUUACCCUAAAUGCAGUCAGCUGUGCCCUGUGCGAGUUGCUAGAUUGUUACACCAACACAACUCGCUUACGUUUCAACCUCAACUGGCAAUCAUUCACUAUACAAAUUAAAUAUGAUAUACUUACAGAGCGAUCGGCCCGUCAACUGCUAGCCUUCCUGCAGUGUUGUAAGUCACAAGUCACAAACGACAUAAAUACUAACCUGUUUUUUUUUGCAACAAAAACUGAUGUAGUCAUCUAACAUUAGCCAUGUUAUAUUCUAAAAACUACAGUGUUUAGUCCCUCCUCCUUUUUGGAUGGAUUGGCUCUUGAUAUUGACAGUCAUCACUGCCCAGUUACAACUGGGAGGUGAUUCAUGCAUUUUCUUGUGCUAAAUAAAAUGAAAAACAGACUCAGAAAUGUCAAGAAUCAAAACAGGAACUCAUAACAGUUAUAGAAUUUGCUAUUUAGGUCUAUUUAUUUUAAAUUAAAAUCUACCUGCCAAUUAAAUACACUGGAACGUAUCACUGGUAUAAUAAAGUGAGAAUUAGAUUUUUAUACCAAAGUAUACCAAAUACAACAUCUUUACUUUGAGUAGCUACUAUCCCAUGAACUCAGGUGAAAUAAGAGCUGACAGUUUCACUUUUAACAAGCCCUUAGCCUUUUGUGUGAUCUCAUCUCACACUUCGUACUAUUUUAGUCGAUUGAUAUCUGGUUUGCGGUCAUGUUAAGGGGGCUUUACUGUUUGAUCAUUUUAUUUCUGUGAAUGUGCUACUAUCUCUCUAACAAUACCGCAUGUAUAUACAUAUAACACUCCAUUCUUGAUGAACUGAUAAUUACGUAAUCGUUUGCUCAUUUUAGAAGAAGGUCUACCUACCACUUUUCAGACAGCUCAGGGGUGUAUUUGUUUUUUCCACCUCGUAUAUGGAAAAACUGAAUGCUUGUGGUGUGGCCUUUUCAGAAUGUAUGUAAAUCUACAUACAUAUUUGAAAACCAAACCCACUUCCCGUCUCACUGCUUUAACAGCUAAAUGUAGGUCUUGUCAAGGAUGGGAAUCAACAGGGCUAAAAUAGAUCAGCAUGGUUUUAUGGGUUUCAAGUGGUAGAACUGUGAUGUGACUAUUCUCUGUUCUAGAUAUUUAUAUUACUCUUCUAAGUUACCAGGAAAUAGAACACUAUAUUGAAAAUAUAUCCUUGUGAUCUAAAUAUUCAUACACAGGUACAUAUACAAAAUAUACUGACACUUAACUUAUUAGAUUGAUAUGAAUCAAAAGUUUGGUUUUUGGUAACGCUUUUAACAUUGUAAGCUAGUUAAAGGCAAAAACAAUAUCGCUGGGUUUGCUGUGGAGAUGGACAUUUUGUGUUCAGCAAUUGUUUAGCAUUGUUACUAUGUGUAAUGAGUGUGGUUUCGUGCACGUGUACAAUACAUGUGUGCUACGAGGUUAUAAAUCUACUUGUUGUGAGCCCACGAGGCAGAUCAAUUGACUUGUGGAACAAAAAAGUAU